AGAAGGAAAAGUGCAAGUAUGAAAAUAUAUUAUUACACAACUGCCACCAUCAAAACUCAAAAAUAUUUGUUAAACGGUAUUUUCUCCGCACUGGCAAUGGCUACUUCUCUCCACCCAAGCAACGCCUUUUAUCACCGUUUCACUCCUACUUCGUAUAAGCAUCGAAUUUUGAACUUUUACCGGCGCUUUCCGUCUUCAUUUUCCGGUAGAUUUAGGGUUUUAACUUACCGAGGCAGCGGGCAUGGAGUUUGCUCCUCCUCGAGUAUUAGUAAAGCGAGUAAUGCUAAUAAUACGGAGGCUGAGAAGGUUGCUGUUCAACAAGAGAAAGAGAACAACAACGAACGUCCUCCUUUUGAUAUCAAUCUCGCUGUCGUUCUUGCUGGUUUCGCUUACGAAGCCUAUACCAGCUCCCCUAAAAAUGUAGGGAAGUGGGAGGCUGAUGCUGCUGGUUGUAAGACUGUGUGUCUCUCAAAGUUACGUGAGAUAUAUGAUGGACAAUUGUUUAUAAAAUUGAAAAAGGGCUUUGAUUUUCCAGCCUUGGAUCCAUGGGUUCUCAAAAGCAAGGUCAAAUGGGGGAAAAAGGAGCCAACUUGGGACAAGGACUUCACUAUUAACGUUAAGCUGCCUCUGACCAAAAAUCUUCAGAAGUACAUAAAUGAACAAAUUCCAAUAGCAUAUUUUUCUAAAAGAAAUUAUAAUGCCAAUUUAAAUAGUCACUCUAAAAGUAAGCAUGGAUAUCCCUUACAAGUUUCUGAAUUUACACAACACAUCAUCUCUAGUUCCUAUGAAGAAAGGAACACUAGCAAUUGGACUGGAAGGAGAGGAAACCCAACACUUAAAGGGAUCAAGCUUAUGGUUCAAGGACUAGAGCUUUUUAAUUGAGAUCUCAUUUUUUAAAAUCUGUCUUCUUGUCCUUCCACUUGUUUUUGCCUGUCUCAGGUGAGAUCGUUUUUAUUAUUAAUAUGAAGUCUUCUCUCUCUCCCCCUCCCUCCCUCUCGUGUACUUUCCAUGUAUGAGUGUUGAGGUUACUUUAGAAACUAUAUGGUAGCCUGUGUAAAUAGACCAAAUGGUCAGGCCCAUGCACUAUUGAAUGUGUGCGUCCUUUUGCGUAUGAAACAGAUGUUCGCCAAUGGCUUUCAUCGCUUACCAAAGGGUGCACUAGUACCUGUACAUUGGUGGUUCUGCCAGGCAAUAAUUACUUAAAAUUAAUCUUCUAAUUUACCUUCUCACAUCCAUCCAUUGACGCGAUUAUAAUCAUGCUGGGCUGACCAGACUGGAGCAUCUUUGUUUAGGAAGGUGUUUUUAAAUAAUUGGUUGGCAGGAUCUCUUUAUUCCAGUAGGGUAUCCUAUUAAGAAUCACGCCUUAUGAUUAAUUAUCUCCAAUUAACUAGCACAUCUUAUUCCUAUUUUAGUCUGCUAUCACCACUACUAGUUUGGUCUUGAUGACAUUUUUGGUGAAUGAUUUUGUUUGUGCCAAUUAUGACUGAAGCUUCUUGUGCAAUACAAACGCAUGAUGUAAUGCAUCAACAUGUGCUCAGAAUUGGAAGCUAUCAUUUUCAUUAUGAGUUGCAACUCGCUACUAAUUCUUUGUUUUUGAGCUUCAGGUUGCAGCUUGGGAUGCAAACCUUGUAACUCCACAUAAGCGCAUGGGUAACAUAGGCAUUGGUCUGAAAUGCUUAUGUGACGAUUGAUGAUUGCACUAACUAAAGGAGGUUUCCUCGAGUGAUUAAGUUUAAUUCCACAAGUACAAGUUCAUUCGAUGUGUAUGAAAAGUAAAAAGAAGACAAAGUUUGGAUAUAUGGACUGCAUACCCUUUCUGCAAAAAUGAUUAAAUAGCACGUGCCUUUCCAGGAAACUUGUACGAGGUGCUGAUCAAUCUGGAAGGGAUGGGCGGUGGAGGAAAGUUGCAGUUGGAGUUCAAUGCGAGAUGGACGGGGGAUUCUGCAUCAUAUGGAGGAUUUCUAUUACAUCACGCUGCUUGAGACUGUGAGAUCAAACUA